rnacentral:rRNA from 1 species
GACGAACGCUGGCGGCGUGCCUAAUACAUGCAAGUAGAACGCAGUUGCGAACGGGUGAGUAACGCGUAGGUAACUGCCUGGUAGCGGGGGAUAACUAUUGGAAACGAUAGCUAAUAACGCAUACUAACAGAUGGACCUGCGUUGUAUUAGCUAGGUGGUGAGGGAAAGGCCCACCAAUGCAACGAUACAUAGCCGAGCUGAGAAGGUGAUCGGCCAAACUGGGACUGAGACCCGGCCCAUACUCCUUCGGGAGGCAGCAGUAGGGAAUCUUCGGCAAUGGGGGGAACCCUGACCGCGCAACGCCGCGGGAUUGAAGAAGGUUUUCGGAUCGUAAAGCUCUGUUGUUAAGGAAGCGGUACUUAACCAGAAAGGGACGGCUAACUACGUGCCAGCAGCCGCGGUAAUAC